rnacentral:lncRNA from 1 species
UCCAGAUUCAAAUUUCCAUGGUUGGUGCCUAACAAAGCUAGCUAGUUAGAGUUUGUGGAGUGAGAUUCACAAAACCAGUUGUGCUUAUGUGUGCCAUUGGAAAAAAGCUUACAAGAACAUGUGUUUCAGCUCAAUCAUAAUGAAACUUGCAGAGGGGCUAAUCUGCAAUCAGACCUCUUCUUGUAUUACCUUAAGGAUGAUGAAAGAAAAAAGAAAACUACUGGAAUCAACGUCAACGAAUAUUAUUAAACGAACGAUGAUUACUUGCUACAAUGAUGUAAGAACAAAAUUCCAGAUCUACACUACUGCUGCUAGUAUGUUUAGUUUAUCUUGGCCGAAGGAUAAAGCACGAAACUGUUCUUAUCACUCGCGUAACAUUCCAAUGGAGGAUGUUGACGGUAUAUGACGGAGUCGGUCGGAGACUUCAAGUGCGGCGGACCUCCAUUAAAUGCAAACUCCGGAGAAGGCAAUGAAUUGGGAACAGGUCUCCAAGUGCGUCGACAUUAUCUUCUCCAAGUCACUAAGACCUGCUGAAAAUGUUAAACUUGAAACGCAGCCAUGACGAAAAUGUAACUAUACAAAAUUAAGGUAUCGAUUCUGCAAGAGUGGGAACACAAAAUUUCACACCCAAUUUGUCGUAUCCUAUCAAAAUCCAAAUCCACAAUGGAAACCGGAUGCGAAUUCUUAUCCUCACUCUGUUUCCGCUCUCGUCCUCUUCCAUCUACUCUCCCGCCGCCAACCAAAUUCGCCUCUGCUCCGAGCUCUCUGUUUCAUUUCUUCAUCCUUCCAUGGAUUCCCUCUUCAUCAACCACUCCAUUUCCCGCCUCAAGCUCUCUUCAAACCUCCCUCUCCUUCCUAAUCCCCUUUCCCAAUAUCAAUCCUCUCUCUUCCUCCCCCACCACAAACCUCGCUACAACUUCACUCUCUCCGCAAUCCAAGACCAAGAAACCACCCGGAACCCGACCCAAUCCGCCGCCGAUGACUACGGCGAAGUCGAGAAAAUCAUCGGGAGCAGAGCUCUGGAAGGCGGCGCCGGAAUGGAGUACCUAAUCCAAUGGAAAGACGGCCACGACCCUUCCUGGGUCCCAUCCGAUUACAUCGCCAAAGACGUCCUCGCCGAAUUCGAGUCCCCUUGGUGGACCGCAGCCAAGAAAUCCGACGAAUCCGCUCUCCGAUCCAUCCUCGAAUCGGAAGAAGCGGACCGCGACGUGGACGCGGUCGACCCCGCCGGCAGGGCGGGACUCCACUUCGUCUCG